rnacentral:tRNA from 1 species
GGGGAUUUAGCUCAGUGGUAGAGCGCUUGCCUAGCUAGCGAAAGGCCCUGGGUUCGGUCCCCAGCUCCG